GACGAGGGUGUGACGGAAGUCCGGUGAGAAUCCGGCACGGUCGCGCCACUGUGGACCCGCGGUUCGCCGCGGGAAGUCAGACCCGGCACCUUCGUC
rnacentral:ncRNA from 2 species